CGAAGAGAAGUCCAGCCAUCAGCAUCUGUAUCCAGUACUCCACACCCUCACUUUAACAUAAGACAGUCUACCCACUGCUGGCAUCUAGAUACGAAGACACCUACUGGUGGAUGUGACGGUAGGAGAAAUCAGAGCCAUCUGAACCCAGCCCGGUAGGGAAAGCAGGAAGAUUCACUGAAUGCUGGCAUUGUGUGGGUGUUCCCAAAUGCACUCAUUUGACCACAACGACCCUGAGAAGUGGGCAUUUUAUCCUUGAUGCCUACUGCACACUGCCGGGGAGGAGCCAGGCCUGAACAGUUUUAUCUGGCUCCAAAGUCCACAGUCUUCCUCCACGUCCUGUUGCCACCUCCGACACUCAAAAAGAUGUCACCACUUGCCUGACAAACAGGGCACUGAGUCACCUAUUCACACAGAUGCGAAAUGGCAAAAAAAAAAAAAAAAAAAAAAAAUACACGAGAAAGAUCCUUUAUGCAGACCAGUUUGGCCAGAAGCAGCAAACUAUGCUCUCAGCAAAUAAUCCUGCAUUCUGUUAAGAAAAAAAAAAAAAAAGUAACAGGACACAACUAAAUCUAGCACCAACCAAGAGGCCAUAUCUUCAUUUUUUCAACAACUACUAAGAGUCACCCCAAUGGGUGAUGUGCCAGAAAUCUAUUUAAAAUAAACUGCCUAUCUCACCUCAUUACAUCACCAGUGAAACUGUACACAACGUCUUCAAAACUGCACCUGCAUUAACUCCUAAAAGCAAAAGCGUCCUGCAGCAAAGACUAGGCCAAGAAAUUGGGAGUCAAACUCAUGAAGUUUGGCUCCCCUCAAACAAUCUCAUUUUUACUUUAACUUAUCCCCAUGAACUUGACAUGCCACCCAGACAAACCGGCAGCUUUUCCAUCCUAUUAGGUUUUAAUUAUGAAACUGGCUUCAAACCAUGUAUUCGGAGAGGAGUCCCUCCACCAAUGAGGCUGCUUCUACAGUCCCUGAUCUGCUGAAUAAAUACCAAUUGCCAGAAA